GACGAACGCUGGCGGCGUGCUUAACACAUGCAAGUCGAGCGGUAAGGCCCUUUCGGGGGUACACGAGCGGCGAACGGGUGAGUAACACGUGGGUGACCUGCCCUCAGCUCUGGGAUAAGCCUGGGAAACUGGGUCUAAUACCGGAUAUGACUCCAUGACGCAUGUUGUGGGGUGGAAAGCCUUGUGCGGCUGAGGAUGGGCCCGCGGCCUAUCAGCUUGUUGGUGGGGUGACGGCCUACCAAGGCGACGACGGGUAGCCGGCCUGAGAGGGCGACCGGCCACACUGGGACUGAGACACCGGCCCAGACUCCGUACGGGAGGCAGCAGGUGGGGAAUCUUGCGACAAGUGGGACGAAAGCCUGACGCAG
rnacentral:rRNA from 1 species